CAGGUGGUGCAUGGUUGUCGUCAGCUCGUGUCGUGAGAUGUUGGGUUAAGUCCCGCAACGAGCGCAACCCUUGUUUUUAGUUGCCAUCAUUAGGGUGGGCACUCUAGAGAGACUGCCAGGGAUAACCUGGAGGAAGGGGGGGAUGACGUCAAAUCAUCAUGCCCCUUAUGCUUAGGGCUACACACGUGCUACAAUGGGUAGUACAGAGGGUUGCCAAGCCGUAAGGUGGAGCUAAUCCCUUAAAGCUACUCUCAGUUCGGAUUGUAGGCUGAAACUCGCCUACAUGAAGCUGGAGUUACUAGUAAUCGCAGAUCAGAAUGCUGCGGUGAAUGCGUUCCCGGGUCUUGUACACAC
rnacentral:rRNA from 1 species